GAGCUUGGUUAUUAUUUUUACUCGAUUUUGUAUUAGUGUUUCGGUGGUGUUGGGACUCUGAGGAAGUUGAGAUUAUGCGGUUAGUGGGAAGUUAGGGGUUAUCUGAUUUGUUUGUUAUUUUGUUUUUUUUCUUUCAUUCGAAUUUCUCUCUAUCUCUGACAUUUCUUUUUCCCCUCUCCUCUUCUUUGUUUUCCUCCUUCGAUUUUUCGUGGCUUUCCUCUAAUCUCUGUGGGAUUUUCUUGAUUAAUCAUCGCUACUGCGUUCUUAGUUCUUUAUUCGGCUGGUAAGUGAUUUUUGUUGCAUUUAAAUUUUUGUUU
rnacentral:lncRNA from 1 species